rnacentral:rRNA from 1 species
UACAGAGGGUGCGAGCGUUAAUCGGAAUUACUGGGCGUAAAGGGCGCGUAGGUGGUUGGAUAAGUCGGAUGUGAAAUCCCCGGGCUCAACCUGGGAACUGCAUUCGAAACUGUCUGACUAGAGUUUGGUAGAGGGAAGUGGAAUUCCACAUGUAGCGGUGAAAUGCGUAGAUAUGUGGAGGAACAUCAGUGGCGAAGGCGGCUUCCUGGACUAAAACUGACACUGAGGCGCGAAAGCGUGGGGAGCAAACAGG